AGAGUUUGAUCCUGGCUCAGGAUGAACGCUGGCGGCGUGCUUAACACAUGCAAGUCGAACGGACCGGAUUCGUCUGGUCAGUGGCAGACGGGUGCGUAACACGUGGGUGACCUGCCCUUGAGUGGGGAAUAACUCGACUAACGUCGAGCUAAUACCGCAUACGUUCGCCUCUUCGGUGGGGCGAGUAAAGCAGCAAUGCGCUUGGGGAUGGGCCUGCGGCGGAUUAGGUAGUUGGUGGGGUAACGGCCUACCAAGCCGAUGAUCCGUAGGGGGCGUGAGAGCGUGGCCCCCCACAUUGGCACUGAGACACGGGCCAAACUCCUACGGGAGGCAGCAGUGAGGAAUAUUGCGCAAUGGGCGAAAGCCUGACGCAGCAACGCCGCGUGGAGGACGAAGGCCUUCGGGUCGUAAACUCCUUUUCUGGGGGAAGAGUAAGGACGGUACCUCAGGAAUAAGUCUCGGCUAACUACGUGCCAGCAGCCGCGGUAAAACGUAGGAGGCGAGCGUUAUCCGGAUUUAUUGGGUUUAAAGGGUGCGUAGGCGGAACAAUAAGUCAGUGGUGAAAGACUGCAGCUUAACUGUAGACUUGCCGUUGAUACUGUUGAUCUUGAGUAUGGUCAAGGCAGGCGGAAUGUGUAAUGUAGCGGUGAAAUGCUUAGAUAUUACACAGAACACCGAUUGCGAAGGCAGCUUGCUGGGCCAUUACUGACGCUGAUGCACGAAAGCGUGGGGAUCGAACAGGAUUAGAUACCCUGGUAGUCCACGCAGUAAACGAUGAUCACUCGCUGUUGGCGAUACACAGUCAGCGGCUAAGCAAAAGCAUUAAGUGAUCCACCUGGGGAGUACGGCCGCAAGGCUGAAACUCAAAGGAAUUGACGG
rnacentral:rRNA from 1 species